UGAUGGUUCUUCCUUGCUUGUCUUCAAGUUUAGGCAUGUUAUUUUAGGCCAUCAUAAAUAAACUGAAAUCACUUCACCCACUGCUGGUUGAUGUGUAGUAUGUAAUCAUUACUCACAUCUGUCCAGUAUUUGAUUUUGCAGAUUCUUACAAAU